GAUGAACGCUGGCGGCGUGCCUAAUACAUGCAAGUCGAGCGAACAGACGAGGAGCUUGCUCCUCUGACGUUAGCGGCGGACGGGUGAGUAACACGUGGAUAACCUACCUAUAAGACUGGGAUAACUUCGGGAAACCGGAGCUAAUACCGGAUAAUAUAUUGAACCGCAUGGUUCAAUAGUGAAAGACGGUUUUGCUGUCACUUAUAGAUGGAUCCGCGCCGCAUUAGCUAGUUGGUAAGGUAACGGCUUACCAAGGCGACGAUGCGUAGCCGACCUGAGAGGGUGAUCGGCCACACUGGAACUGAGACACGGUCCAGACUCCUACGGGAGGCAGCAGUAGGGAAUCUUCCGCAAUGGGCGAAAGCUUGACGGAGCAACGCCGCGUGAGUGAUGAAGGUCUUCGGAUCGUAAAACUCUGUUAUUAGGGAAGAACAAAUGUGUAAGUAACUAUGCACGUCUUGACGGUACCUAAUCAGAAAGCCACGGCAAACUACGUG
rnacentral:rRNA from 1 species